UCCAUUCUGGUUUAUGUUGAGGUCCAGUAAUUAAUAUACAGUAGACGCUAGGCCCUCUGGGAAACAGGAAGUCUUCCCUGGGAGCAGCUUCCUGGGAGCAGCUUCUGAACUACCUGACACAGUGUAAGGGACAGAAGGGGCUUCAAAAUACUAGAAACAGGAAAACAAACAGAAAAUUCAUGCGAGGUUAUUACCAGAUAUCACAUUCCUUGGUGUCCGAGAUUGAGAGGACCACUGUACAAGCAGAAACCACAUCUGCCACUCCAAGAUGACUGCAGCCACUCCAAUUUGGACUGCUACCAACACGCUGGCCAAAGGGGUGUCAGGUUGUAUUCUGACUUUGUCAGUGGUCUUCCUUUUGUAUUAUUGCA